rnacentral:rRNA from 1 species
AUUGAACGCUGGCGGCAGGCCUAACACAUGCAAGUCGAGCGGAAACGAGUUAUCUGAACCUUCGGGGAACGAUAACGGCGUCGAGCGGCGGACGGGUGAGUAAUGCCUAGGAAAUUGCCCUGAUGUGGGGGAUAACCAUUGGAAACGAUGGCUAAUACCGCAUAAAUGCCUACGGGCCGAAACGAAGGGGACCGUUCGGUCCGUCUCGCGUCAGGAUAUGCCUAGGUGGGAGUUAGUCUAGUUGGUGAGGUAAUGGCGUCACCAAGGCGACGAUCCCUACGCUGGUCUGAGAGGAUGAUCAGCCACACUGGAACUGAGACACGGUCCAGACUCCUACGGGAGGCAGCAGUGGGGAAGUAUUGCACAAUGGGCGCAAGCCUGAUGCAGCCAUGCCGCGUGUGUGAAGAAGGCCUUCGGGUUGUAAAGCACUUUCAGUCGUGA